AUCAACUCCCCCCUGUGCCGCAGUUAACACAAUAAGUAUCCCGCCUGGGGAGUACGGUCGCAAGAUUAAAACUCAAAGGAAUUGACGGGGGCCCGCACAAGCAGCGGAGCAUGUGGUUUAAUUCGAAGCAACGCGAAGAACCUUACCUGGACUUGACAUCCCUUGCAUAGCCUAGAGAUAGGUGAAGCCCUUCGGGGCAAGGAGACAGGUGGUGCAUGGUUGUCGUCAGCUCGUGUCGUGAGAUGUUAGGUUAAGUCCUGCAACGAGCGCAACCCUUGUUAUUAGUUGCUACCAUUAAGUUGAGCACUCUAAUGAGACUGCCUGGGUAACCAGGAGGAAGGUGGGGAUGACGUCAAAUCAUCAUGCCCCUUAUGUCCAGGGCUACACACGUGCUACAAUGGUAGGUACAAUAAGACGCAAGACCGUGAGGUGGAGCAAAACUUAUAAAACCUAUCUCAGUUCGGAUUGUAGGCUGCAACUCGCCUACAUGAAGCUGGAGUUGCUAGUAAUCGCGAAUCAGAAUGUCGCGGUGAAUACGUUCCCGGGCCUUGUACACACCGCCCGUCACACCAUGAGAGCUGGUAACACCCGAAGUCCGUGAGGUAACCGUAAGGAGCCAGCGGCCGAAGGUGGGAUUAGUGAUUGGGGUGAAGUCGUAACAAGGUAACCGUAAAA
rnacentral:rRNA from 1 species